UACGUAGGGGGCAAGCGUUAUCCGGAAUCAUUGGGCGUAAAGAGCUCGUAGGCGGUUUGUCGCGGCGGCCGGGAAAGUCCGGGGCUUAACCCCGGAUCUGCGGUGGGUACGGGCAGACUAGAGUGCAGUAGGGGAGACCGGAAUUCCUGGUGUAGCGGUGAAAUGCGCAGAUAUCAGGAGGAACACCGAUGGCGAAGGCAGGUCUCUGGGCUGUUACUGACGCUGAGGAGCGAAAGCAUGGGGAGCGAACAGG
rnacentral:misc_RNA from 1 species